GGGGGUGUGACAGAACCCUCGGGGGACGGCACAACACAAGGGCGAAGGGCACAGUACAGAUGGACAGCCCUGAGAGCGGGUCAGCCAGCCAGGACACCUCAGACUGUCCAGGAGGGACUGUGACAGGUGUGACACCACCUGAAAACCAACGGGAAGCCAUUCAGGAGUGCUGGUACUGACACCUGUGUGACUUGUAGCCAGCAACCAGGAGCUGCAGAGACAUAGGCACCGUGGUGAAGCUACCCACCAGGCUUCCUGGUUCCAGAGCUGGCCACUCUCUGUGGUUACACUCAACAACUCAAAAAGCUCAGCACACCACCCGGCAGCUCCUUUCCUUUAAUUUAGAUUUUCCCCACUGUUACCAGACAAGGCAUCUGGCAGCCUUGCUAAGAAGACAGGACAUUUCCAGGAGUCAAGAACUGAAU